rnacentral:rRNA from 1 species
CCCCUAGAUGUUCUGGGCCGCACGCGCGCUACACUGAACAGUUCAACAAGUCUUAACCUUGGCCGAUAGGUCUGGGUAAUCUUUGAACGCUGUUCGUGAUUGGGAUAGACCUUUGCAAUUAUGGGUCUUCAACGAGGAAUUCCUAGUAAACGCAAGUCAUCAGCUUGCAUUGAUUACGUCCCUGCCCUUUGUACACACCGCCCGUCGCAUCUACCGAUUGAAUGGUCCGGUGAAAUCUCGGGACGGCGGCUUGGUCGCUUGCGUCCGACUGCUGAAACUUGAUUAAACCAUAUCAUUUAGAGGAAGGUGAAGUCGUAACA